CCGCCGUUUCCAUGGUGACGCGGGGCAGGCCGAGCUGCUGGCUUUCCGACACGUGUCCCCUGGAGCCGCCCGGAAUUUGACAGGGGACCAUGUGCGCGGCAGCGCGGGAGCGAGACAAAGGCCCGGGAGGGCGACGGCUUCUCCUGCGAGCCGGACCCCUCAUCAUUGGACAGAAGAACCUAAUGUGCUCAUCACUGAAGAGGUGACUCGAAGCUGUUUGAGCCCAUGUCUGCCUCCUCGUAUCCUUUGGUCAGCUCGGUGUCUUGCUUGUCUCUUGGCCACAGUGCCCAGCACGGGAGCAGACCCCUACUCUGGAGCAUCUUCCUCCAAGCAAGAGGAGGAGGCGGAGGAAGAUGACGGCAAUGGAAUGAGCCGCGGCCUCCGGCGCCCCACCUGCGAUGUCAGUUCUUUGUGCCACCAUUGAUUGAGCUGUUGCCUGGUAGCUCCUGGUGCAAGUCCUCCCCCUCCCACCCCUGCACGCGAGUUCCAGGGUCUUAGAGGCAGCUUGUAUUUUCCUGUAUCUCCUGCCAUCUUGCAGGGCUGGGCCCACGGGAGGCUCCUCAGAGACCCCACAGUCCUAGGAGGCUGUUUAGCUGGCCACUGCGAGCAAGAAAAAGGAGGAGGAGGAUCCCGAGCUGCAGGAUCGAGGGUGGAGGAGAAUGAGAAGUUACGUGGGGAAGAAACAGAGCUGAGCAGACCUCUCUUCCCGCCCUGCCCGGAAGCUAGCUCAGUGGGCUCUGGAAUGCCUCUGGGUCCUCUGGAAGGAGGAUCUAAAGUCAGCUUCCAAGCAAGACAAGGAGGGCCGUCUCUGAGCCUCCGUCUCAGCCAGCCUCCUUUGGAACCCACACUGAUGUUGAGAAAUUAAGAGCCUUAACCAGAAAAUCCAUCCAUCCAUGUCCCCGUGCAUUCGUUAAACAUCUACUGUGCAGUUCUGUGUGCCAGGCACCGAGCCAGGCUCGGGGGGCUCAGCAGGGAAAAGAGGGGCAUCGAGAGAAGGUGACGUCAGGAAGAGGCUGGAGUUUGGGGCUAGAGCCACUUGCUGGAUGAGGAUCCAUUAACCAAGAUGGAAAGAGUGAGUUUGGGGGAUGAGCAGAAGUGCUGUCGGAGACAUGUCACAUCUGAGUUGCCUGAUAGCCAACCAGGGGGGCCAAGGGCCGG